CCCUUAGAUGUCCUGGGCCGCACGCGCGCUACACUGAGUGUCUGAGAUACGAGUCUGCCUGGUCCGGCAAGGUCUAGGUAAUCGCUAAAAGACACAUCAUGCUUGGGAUAGAUUAUUGCAAAUAUUAAUCUUGAACGAGGAAUUCCUAGUAAGCGCAAGUCAACAGCUUGCGUUGAUUACGUCCCUGCCCUUUGUACACACCGCCCGUCGCUACUACUGAUUGGAUGUUUAAGCGAGGUUCUCGAACUGCUAGCGACUUAGCUUCGGUUAGGUCGCAGUGUGGGAAGUGAACCUAGCUUUGGUGUCUAGAGGAAGUAAAAGUCGUAACA
rnacentral:rRNA from 1 species